GCGACAGCUUGGAAUUGGCAACGCUGCGCUGCUUUCGGUAAUUGCAAGCACAGCUUUCCAUGCAUUUCGAUAAGCGAGCCUGGAAAGCUGCCGUGCACGUCGGCCUAUGCAAGCACGCCUCCUUCCAAGGCUCGCAAGCAACUCUGUGGAGCUGCAGGCGCAGCCAAGUUCACGUUUUUUUCUUCUGCUGCUGUUGUUCCAGUGAUCUUUGCAAAGUGUUUGAAUAAGUUUAAGAAAUGUGCGUGUUAAAUGUGUUAACUAAACCAAGUCUAGCAUGCAGCUCAUGCAAAAAGUGUGCAUGGAGAAAGAGGUACACUUUUGUCGGUACUUCCCCCAUGCACCGUUGCUGCACUGUUGCCCGGUGGUGUGUGGAAAUUAGUCCCAGUUACCCUCUUACUGAUAGAUGUUAAUUAAAUAACCAUAUGAA